GACGAACGCUGGCGGCGUGCUUAACACAUGCAAGUCGAACGGUAAGGCCCUUCGGGGUACACGAGUGGCGAACGGGUGAGUAACACGUGGGUGAUCUGCCCUGCACUUUGGGAUAAGCCUGGGAAACUGGGUCUAAUACCGAAUAUGACCAUGGACUUCACGGUUUGUGGUGGAAAGCUUUUGCGGUGUGGGAUGGGCCCGCGGCCUAUCAGCUUGUUGGUGGGGUAAUGGCCUACCAAGGCGACGACGGGUAGCCGGCCUGAGAGGGUGACCGGCCACACUGGGACUGAGAUACGGCCCAGACUCCUACGGGAGGCAGCAGUGGGAAUAUUGCACAAUGGGCGCAAGCCUGAUGCAGCGACGCCGCGUGGGGGA
rnacentral:rRNA from 1 species